rnacentral:rRNA from 1 species
ACCCGCUGAACUUAAGCAUAUCAAUAAGCGGAGGAAAAGAAACCAACUGGGAUUGCCUUAGUAACGGCGAGUGAAGCGGCAACAGCUCAAAUUUGAAAUCUGGCCUCGGCCCGAGUUGUAAUUUGAAGAGGAUGCUUUGGAGUCGUCCCUGGUCUAAGUUCCUUGGAACAGGACGUCGCAGAGGGUGAGAGUCCCGUACGCGGCCGGGUGCCUUCUCCGUGUAAAGCUCCUUCGACGAGUCGAGUUGUUUGGGAAUGCAGCUCUAAAUGGGAGGUAUAUUUCUUCUAAAGCUAAAUACCGGCCAGAGACCGAUAGCGCACAAGUAGAGUGAUCGAAAGAUGAAAAGCACUUUGGAAAGAGAGUCAAAAAGUACGUGAAAUUGUUGAAAGGGAAGCGUUUGCGGCCAGACUUGAUGGCGGUUGCUCAGCCGGUCUUUGCCCGGUGCACUCUUCCGCCUUCAGGCCAGCAUCAGUUUGGACGGCUGGAUAAAGGCUUUGGGAACGUAGCUCCUCGGAGUGUUAUAGCCCUUUGCAUAAUACAGCCUGCCCGGACUGAGGACAGCGUUUGCUAGGAUGCUGGCGUAAUGGCAGCCAACGGCCCGUCUUGAAACACGG